GUGAUUGACCGACUCUGACUGUUAGCUAUAUUUGAGAAUCUAACCGAGCAAACCGAGGUCGUUAAAUGCUUGGAGCUUGCACGAGGAAGGAGUCGUUGACCUUAGGUACACAUGGAGCUUGCACGGGAGGCGCAGUCGUUGUGGGACAUGGAUCGUGGAUGCCAUGUUAAACUUUAUUACGCUUUGAACUUGAUACUUAUGUUGGGUUUUCAUAUUAUGCUUCCGCUACCUAAACUAUGUUUUGUUUGAACAUCAAUUGUAUUGUGUUGGAUUUCAUA
rnacentral:lncRNA from 1 species